AACGAACGCUGGCGGCAGGCCUAACACAUGCAAGUCGAGCGAGGACUUCGGUUCUAGCGGCGGACGGGUGAGUAACGCGUGGGAAUGUGCCCUUCUCUACGGAAUAGCCCUGGGAAACUGAGAGUAAUACCGUAUACGCCCUAUUGGGGAAAGAUUUAUCGGAGAAGGAUCAGCCCGCGUUGGAUUAGGUAGUUGGUGGGGUAAUGGCCUACCAAGCCGACGAUCCAUAGCUGGUUUGAGAGGAUGAUCAGCCACACUGGGACUGAGACACGGCCCAGACUCCUACGGGAGGCAGCAGUGGGGAAUCUUAGACAAUGGGGGCAACCCUGAUCUAGCCAUGCCGCGUGAGUGAUGAAGGCCUUAGGGUUGUAAAGCUCUUUCAGCUGGGAAGAUAAUGACGGUACCAGCAGAAGAAGCCCCGGCUAACUCCGUG
rnacentral:rRNA from 1 species